rnacentral:ribozyme from 1 species
UAUAGGAAGGUGGAAGGAGGGGCUUCAGAGGCGGCGUCGAAGGUUGCGUGAGUUAUUGAAUUUAUUUUUUUUACUUUGUGCUUUUGUCGUAACUUUGAAACUAAUGCAUGAAAAAAAUCAUUAUUUCAUUUUCCUUGAUUUAUUUCCCUCGCUCACA